rnacentral:misc_RNA from 1 species
CCAUUAUCGUUAUCUUUUAGAGUUUCACGAUCUUUACUGAACCAAAAAGAAAUUUAAGUGGACAAUUCCAGAGAGAUUCAAUAAUUUCCCCAAUUCGAGUCCUCACCAAUUCGACAGAGGGUUAGUGAAUUCAACUCAAGUGAGAGCAAUAUAGGCUUUAAUGUCAAGAAAUAACAUGGAGCAGCGCAAGGAAGAGAAAAACAAGUACAGUAUUAUAAUCCCAACCUACAAUGAGCGCCUCAACAUUGCCAUCAUCGUCUACCUCAUCUUUAAGCAUGUCAGGGAUGUUGAGUUUGAAAUUAUUGUUGUUGACGAUGGGAGUCCUGAUGGUACUCAAGAUGUUGUAAAGCAGUUGCAGCAAGUUUACGGUGAAGAUUGCAUUUUGUUAAGACCAAGGCCGAAGAAGCUUGGUUUAGGAACGGCUUACAUUCAUGGUUUGAAGCAUGCAUCUGGAAAUUUCGUUGUAAUCAUGGAUGCUGAUCUAUCCCACCAUCCAAAGUACUUGCCAAGCUUUAUCAAAAAACAGUUGGAGACUGGUGCAAGUAUAGUCACUGGAACCCGGUAUGCUCAGGGCGGCGGUGUACAUGGUUGGAAUCUUAUGCGCAAACUAACAAGUAGGGGAGCAAAUGUUCUUGCACAAACACUUCUGUGGCCUGGUGUAUCUGAUUUGACAGGGUCUUUCCGGCUUUAUAAAAAAUCAGUUCUCGAAGAUAUAAUAACCUCAGUUGUUAGCAAGGGGUAUGUCUUUCAAAUGGAGAUGAUUGUUCGGGCUUCCAGAAAAGGGUACCAUAUUGAGGAGGUUCCAAUUACUUUUGUUGACAGAGUUUUUGGAAGUUCAAAGCUUGGAGGAUCUGAGAUUGUUGAAUAUCUGAAAGGUGUUGCUUAUCUUCUGGUUACAACGUAAGGGGUCAUUUGAACCUCGUGCUCCGUGAAAUGUUGCAUUUCUCCUAAAGAAUUUAAUAGGCUUUCAUCAUCAUCUUUUUAUGUUUUCUAGUUAUGAUGCGUCUAUUUUUAUGAAGAGUUUUUAUAUGGAGUGAUAGGUUAUACAACACAAACUUAUCAAUGCUUUUAAUGAAUUGUUUAUCGAGUUCAAAUCACAUAUAAACUUAGUGCUGUUGCAAAAUUCACAUGCAAAGUCA